rnacentral:rRNA from 1 species
UACGUAGGUCCCGAGCGUUGUCCGGAAUUACUGGGUGUAAAGGGUGCGUAGGUGGGCAAGUAAGUCAGUGGUGAAAUCUCCGGGCUUAACCCGGAAACUGCCAUUGAUACUAUUUGUCUUGAAUACUGUGGAGGUCAGCGGAAUAUGUCAUGUAGCGGUGAAAUGCUUAGAUAUGACAUAGAACACCAAUUGCGAAGGCAGCUGGCUACACAAAUAUUGACACUGAGGCACGAAAGCGUGGGGAUCAAACAGG